UGGGGAAUCUUGCGCAAUGGGCGAAAGCCUGACGCAGCGACGCCGCGUGCGGGAAGAAGGCCUUCGGGUUGUAAACCGCUUUCAGGAGGGACGAAGCCACUCGGGUUAAUAGCCCAGAGGGUGACGGUACCUCCAGAAGAAGCCCCGGCUAACUACGUGCCAGCAGCCGCGGUAAUACGUAGGGGGCAAGCGUUGUCCGGAUUGAUUGGGCGUAAAGCGCGUGUAGGCGGCCAGGUAGGUCGGUUGUGAAAACUGGAGGCUCAACCUCCAGACGUCGACCGAAACCAUCUGGCUAGAGUCCGGAAGAGGAGAGUGGAAUUCCUGGUGUAGCGGUGAAAUGCGCAGAUAUCAGGAAGAACACCGAUGGCGAAGGCAGCUCUCUGGGACGGUACUGACGCUGAGACGCGAAAGCGUGGGGAGCGAACAGG
rnacentral:rRNA from 1 species